rnacentral:rRNA from 1 species
AGUGGACGCUGGCGGUAGGCCUAACACAUGCAAGUCGAACGGCAGCACAGUAAGAGCUUGCUCUUACGGGUGGCGAGUGGCGGACGGGUGAGGAAUACAUCGGAAUCUACUUUUUCGUGGGGGAUAACGUAGGGAAACUUACGCUAAUACCGCAUACGACCUACGGGUGAAAGCAGGGGAUCUUCGGACCUUGCGCGAUUGAAUGAGCCGAUGUCGGAUUAGCUAGUUGGCGGGGUAAAGGCCCACCAAGGCGACGAUCCGUAGCUGGUCUGAGAGGAUGAUCAGCCACACUGGAACUGAGACACGGUCCAGACUCCUACGGGAGGCAGCAGUGGGGAAUAUUGGACAAUGGGCGCAAGCCUGAUCCAGCCAUAUCGCGUGGGUGAAGAAGGCCUUCGGGUUGUAAAGCCCUUUUGUUGGGAAAGAAAAGCAGCAGGUUAAUACCCCGCUGUUCUGACGGUACCCAAAGAAUAAGCACCGGCUAACUUCGUG